UACGGGGGGGGCAAGCGUUGUUCGGAAUUACUGGGCGUAAAGGGCGCGUAGGCGGCCUAUUAAGUCGGACGUGAAAUCCCUCGGCUCAACCGGGGAACUGCGUCCGAUACUGGCAGGCUUGAAUCCGGGAGGGGGAUGUGGAAUUCCAGGUGUAGCGGUGAAAUGCGUAGAUAUCUGGAGGAACACCGGUGGCGAAGGCGGCAUCCUGGACCGGUAUUGACGCUGAGGCGCGAAAGCUAGGGGAGCAAACGGG
rnacentral:rRNA from 1 species